ACGCCAGAAAACAGUGUUGAAGACCAAACAUAGAUUUCACAAUAUAAUAUCCAUGGUUUUGAUUUCUGUGAUUUCAGUUAUUCAUGGUCAACCAUAGUCCAAAAAUAUUAAAUGGGGAAUUCUAGAAAUAUGCAAGUCAUAAGUUCUAAAUAAUGUGUCAUUCUAAGGAGUAUGAUGAAAUAUUAAGACAUCAUUUUCCAUCUCACCCAGGUCAUGAAUCAUUCCUUUGCAUAUGCUAUCUGACCAUUAGUCAUCAAAAUGGUCUGUUUCUGAGUCCCAACCAUCAACAUUAUCAUGGCUCAAUGAUCCACCAUCACAUGAAGCAGAUGAUCCACCUUCUGAUAUGUAGUCAGAUAGCCAGAAAUAAUUAGUAGCCUAACACCACAUGACAACUCCUACCUCAUUCACCUGACUUCAUCUCAUCACAUAGGCAUUAUAUCAUCUCACAGUCAUCACAAGAAAAAGAAGGACGGAAUGAAGUUGAUAAUAGUGAGACCUUGUUGGUACAAGACUAUGUAACAUAACCUGCGCUUCUCAACAAAGAAUUGCUUUUCUGACUUCUGCACUCAGCUCCAGGUCAACAGUGGAAUAUUAGCAAAGUUUUGGAGGAGUCAAAAGAAACAGAUUUUCAUAUGAAGCAGAUUUUCAGCUGCAUGGGGGAUCAGCACCCUAACUCUCAUAUUGCUCAAGAUUCAACUGUAAUUAACUCUCAUUUACUAAAUGCAAACCAUUUAUUGUAAAAAUUAAAUAGAGCCCAGAAGUUCAAUACCAGCCUGGGCAACAUAAGAAGACCCUGUCUCUAC